rnacentral:tRNA from 1 species
GGGCCUGUAGCUCAGCUGGCAGAGCGGCGGAAUUUCCUUUAUUGCCUGGGGGAUUUUCUGCGGCCGGAGGUUCGAUACCUCCCAGGCCCG